CCACGAACCGUCCAAACGUUAUUCGGAAUCACUGGGCUUAAAGGGUGCGUAGGCGGCGUUUUAAGUAAGGUGUGAAAUCCCACGUCUCAACCGUGGAACUGCGCUUUAUACUGGAAUGCUUGAGUAAGAUAGAGGUAAGCGGAACUGAUAGUGGAGCGGUGAAAUGCGUUGAUAUUAUCAGGAACACCAGUGGCGAAGGCGGCUUACUGGGUCUUAACUGACGCUGAUGCACGAAAGCUAGGGUAGCGAAGAGGAUUAGAUACCCUCGUAGUCCUAGCCGUAAACACUGAGCGCUGGGUGGGAGGAAGCUCCAUUUUUUCCUGCCGUAGAGAAAUUGUUAAGCGCUCCGCCUGGGGAGUAUGGUCGCAAGGCUGAAACUCAAAUGAAUUGACGGGG
rnacentral:rRNA from 1 species